rnacentral:lncRNA from 1 species
UAUGCUAUAUGAUGAUAAAGGCAAGAUUUGGUUACCUAACCUUGGCCUCUAUGUUGUUCAAAAUCUUUUGCUUGACAUUACAGCAACACCGGUGAAUCAGAGAGCUCCACAGCGAGUGGCAUCUGAAAGAAUGACCACCCAUCGAGAACGCACCUAGUAUGGAGCUGAUCCCGGGCCAGAGGAAGCAGCGCACCUGCAUUAUUGCGAUUACAACCCCCGAGUCCUUCGAGACCCAUGGGUCCGACAUGCGCAACCACAAGAGCCAACAGAGAAGACAUGGCCGGAGAGCCAAGAUCACCAGUGGACAAACCUGCCUUUUCAUACGGGCAGGUACUCCACUGAUCCAUAUGGAGCUUCAGGAUCCAGACCUCCACCCCAAUUUGAUGCAGGACGAUACUACAACGCCUCCUACGCUUUCACGAAUGACUACUAUCAAGAGGCCGGUGCUUUCUUCACCCGUACCGACAACACCCUCCUCGACAUCCAGAACACGCAAGCAGAACAUGGACGACUCCUAGAAGAGCAACAAAAAUGGAACCAGGACCAUACCGCUGC